rnacentral:tRNA from 1 species
GACCUGGUCGACAAGUGGUAAGUCAAAGCUCUGCAAAAGCUUCAUCGCGGGUUCGAUUCCCGCCCAGGUCU